rnacentral:rRNA from 1 species
GAUGAACGCUAGCGGCGUGCCUAAUACAUGCAAGUCGAGCGAACAGACGAGGAGCUUGCUCCUCUGACGUUAGCGGCGGACGGGUGAGUAACACGUGGAUAACCUACCUAUAAGACUGGGAUAACUUCGGGAAACCGGAGCUAAUACCGGAUAAUAUAUUGAACCGCAUGGUUCAAUAGUGAAAGACGGUUUUGCUGUCACUUAUAGAUGGAUCCGCGCCGCAUUAGCUAGUUGGUAAGGUAACGGCUUACCAAGGCAACGAUGCGUAGCCGACCUGAGAGGGUGAUCGGCCACACUGGAACUGAGACACGGUCCAGACUCCUACGGGAGGCAGCAGUAGGGAAUCUUCCGCAAUGGGCGAAAGCUUGACGGAGCAACGCCGCGUGAGUGAUGAAGGUCUUCGGAUCGUAAAACUCUGUUAUUAGGGAAGAACAAAUGUGUAAGUAACUAUGCACGUCUUGACGGUACCUAAUCAGAAAGCCACGGCUAACUACGUG